rnacentral:rRNA from 1 species
GAUGAACGCUGGCGGCGUGCCUAACACAUGCAAGUCGAGCGAACGGACGAGAAGCUUGCUUCCCUGAUGUUAGCGGCGGACGGGUGAGGAACAUGUGGAUAGCAUACCUAUAAGACUGGGAUAACUUCGGGAAACCGGAGCUAAUACCGGAUAAUAUUUUGCACCGCAUGGUUCAAAAGUGAAAGACGGUCUUGCUGUCGCUUAUGGAGGGGUACGCGCUGCAUUAGCUAGUUGGUAGGGUAACGGCCCACCAAGGCGACGAUGCAUAGCCGACCUGAGAGGAUGAGCAGCCACACUGGGACUGAGACACGGCCCAGACUCCUACGGGAGGCAGCAGUGGGGAAUAUUGGACAAUGGGCGAAAGCCUGAUCCAGCAAUGCCGCGUGAGUGAUGAAGGCCUUAGGGUUGUAAAGCUCUUUUACCCGGGAUGAUAAUGACAGUACCGGGAGAAUAAGCGCCGGCUAACUCCGUG